GUGUUCAAUUCUUAGUUCCAGUGAAGGGUAAAGCUACAGCAAUCAAACUUAUUCUAUAGAAAUGUCUGCUUCUGACAUUGUGGCACCAGUUUGGAGAAGAACCACAUAUGGCUUGGCUGGUCAGGGGUUCACAUACUUUUGUUUAUAUAGUGUAGAUAAAGAUGUGUUAUUGAUGCAGGGUCAAAACUGAAUGAUGUGAUUUCCUGUCCAUUUAAUGGGUACUACUUGAUGAUUUCAACUUUAGACUUGCUGAAAAGGAAGUAAGAUUUCUUCUACAUGCUUCUUUGCGAGGUAAAAUUCUGAUUUGGGACACACAUAGAGUUGUGUAGGUGGGUUAUAUUGAAGCACGGUGGUGGUAGUGUCGGGUCUUUGUGCUGCAGUGGUGUAAGUGAUGUAGGAGUGUGUAGGUGGUUAAUAUUGAAGCACAGUGGUGGUAGUGUCGGCUCUGUGCUGCAGUGGUGUAAGUGAUGUAGGAGUGUGUAGGUGGUUAAUAUUGAAGCACGGUGGUGGUAGUGUCGGGUCUGUGCUGCAGUGGUGUAAGUGAUGUAGGAGUUGUGUGGUUAAUAUUGAAGCACGGUGGUGGUAGUGUCGGCUCUGUGCUGCAGUGGUGUAAGUGAUGUAGGAGUGUGUAGGUGGUUAAUAUUGAAGCACGGUGGCUGCAGUGUGAUACCUGCUGAGCCGGAUGUGUGGUUGGUGAAUCAGUAGCAG
ensembl:lncRNA